rnacentral:rRNA from 1 species
AGUGAACGCUGGCGGUAGGCCUAACACAUGCAAGUCGAACGGCAGCACAGUAAGAGCUUGCUCUUACGGGUGGCGAGUGGCGGACGGGUGAGGAAUACAUCGGAAUCUACUUUUUCGUGGGGGAUAACGUAGGGAAACUUACGCUAAUACCGCAUACGACCUACGGGUGGAAGCAGGGGAUCUUCGGACCUUGCGCGAUUGAAUGAGCCGAUGUCGGAUUAGCUAGUUGGCGGGGUAAAGGCCCACCAAGGCGACGAUCCGUAGCUGGUCUGAGAGGAUGAUCAGCCACACUGGAACUGAGACACGGUCCCGACUCCUACGGGAGGCAGCAGUGGGGAAUAUUGGACAAUGGGCGCAAGCCUGAUCCAGCCAUACCGCGUGGGUGAAGAAGGCCUUCGGGUUGUAAAGCCCUUUUGUUGGGAAAGAAAAGCAGCAGGUUAAUACCCCGCUGUUCUGACGGUACCCAAAGAAUAAGCACCGGCUAACUUCGUG